rnacentral:lncRNA from 1 species
CCCAGUGCAGCAGUGAUGUCAUCAUCAGUCUGGCCCUGGGAACCUGCAUUGUUAGCUCCGCAAAUAGAGAAAUCCCUACUCAAGCAUCGCAAAUGAGGGCAGGGGGAGAGCCUGUGGAGAGCCCCGGAUGGGGACUGUUGGCUCCCUCCCUCUCUUUGAGUUGUCAGCAGAUGAAUUCAGCAGGGAACAAAAGGAGCUGCAGCUGGUGGGAGAGAGGGAAAAGGGAGAGAAGCCCGAAUUCUGAUGGGAGAUGGGAAGCGGCGGGGGUGCUGAAGAGCCCCUCAGAGGAGGGGAAUGUGCCACCAGAAAGAGAGGGGAAAGACCCUAACGGUGUCCCCAGAAUGGGAGGUUCCAAGGCCUGGCUCAGCAUGUCCCUGAGGUGAGGAGGCAAGCUGUGGAGGCCAAGAGAGAAUCCAGGGCCACAGGUGUAGAGAUCAACCCAACAGGGCUAAGGGGCAACUUGUGGAGGCCAGAGAGCCAAAGAGAAAAGAGAAAGCCUACUAUGCCAGGCUCUCUCUCCCUCCCUCCCACUCCCUCUUUCCUUUCUCAUUCUCCCACCCCUUUUCUCUUUUACUCUCUUCCUCCUUCCCUCCCUCUUUCCACUCUCCUCUCUCUCUCUCCCCCCCCUUUUUUGUAUUUCUCUCUCCUUUGUCUCUCUGACUCUCCUCUGAAUGUCUCUUUCUUCUUUCUCUAUCUCUUUUGUUCUAUCUCUCCCUCUCUCCCUUUUAGAAUUCCCCUUGGCCCAUGCCAAGCUUCCACAUUGAGUGGGUUAUAAUGAAUCUUAUGAGUUUUAGAACUGAGAAAGUGAACCUGGAACCUCUUAUCAGUCAACCUGGAUCCUCUGAAGAGCUGGUCAGAAAAAAAGCUGGCUUGUGGAGAGGAGUCAUACAAUCAUAUGAUCAUAACACUUAGUCCUUGAAGAAACCUUAGCGAUCAUCUAGUCCAGAGGUGCCAUUCAUGAGAUCCACAUCCACAACACUCCCAAGUGUGGCCCAAACCAGAUUAAAAUAUAAUUAAGGAAUGUUUAACAAAAUAAAUAUCAUCUUCAUCAAGGAUGACA